GGCUUAAUGAAACGCAAAACGAACCCCAAUCAAUUCCCUCUCUUCCCUUGUCUUCUAGAGUUUCAAAAUCCCAAAACCCAAAAACCCCAACUCCUUUCCCUGAUCUCGGUAUUUCCUCGCCAAACCCCAAUCCCUAUGAAAAAAAUCCCGAAACUCCAAACCUUCAGCCUGUUAUUUUUCUCUCUCCUCUGUUCGCUUGGCUUUUCGCUGGAGCCCCUGCCUCGCCGGACCCGCGCUCUCUUUUCCCCUCCGUGUUUUCUCUUUACUCCAUUGAAGCUCUAUUUCUCCUCGUCGCGCGUUUGUUGUUCGCGGUUGUGCUGUCGCUCAUAGCUGCUAUUGGGCGGUGCUUCGCCACCACCGCACGUCGUUGUGCUGCUGGUGGUUGUGGUCGUGGUUGCCGCUGUAGCUCCGCCUGCCUUGCGCCGCCUCAUCGCAUCUACUGCUGCUCGUCGGUGCUCUGCCGUCGUGCCCUGAAGCCUCGAAACCCCUCCCCCUUGACUCCUCUGUCCCCUGUUCUUCGCUGCUCUUAUGAGCAGAGUAUCUUAUAUGUUUCAGGUUGAAGACGUGAGUUAUUCUUUUGCAAGCUGAAGGGGAUACGAGAUGGUGCAGUAUUAUAGUUGUUAUUGAAGUGAGGACGCUCCACUUGUAAUAGUUAAUUGUUUAUCUUCUAUAAUCUAUUUCUUCAUUUAAGAAUCGGUAGUUAGUGCUCAAGAUUCUUUGUUGAUUGUUGCUCCGCGAAAGCGUUGAGGUUGAUGAGCUUUGGGAUUCAGAAAUAAUUUAUAAAUUGAAUUUGCAAACAA